rnacentral:rRNA from 1 species
CCUACGGGGGGCAGCAGUGGGGAAUAUUGCACAAUGGGCGAAAGCCUGAUGCAGCGACGCCGCGUGAGGGAUGACGGCCUUCGGGUUGUAAACCUCUUUCAGUAGGGACGAAGCGCAAGUGACGGUACCUGCAGAAGAAGCACCGGCUAACUACGUGCCAGCAGCCGCGGUAAUACGUAGGGUGCGAGCGUUGUCCGGAAUUACUGGGCGUAAAGAGCUCGUAGGCGGUUUGUCACGUCGUCUGUGAAAUCCUAGGGCUUAACCCUGGACGUGCAGGCGAUACGGGCUGACUUGAGUACUACAGGGGAGACUGGAAUUUCUGGUGUAGCGGUGGAAUGCACAGAUAUCAGGAAGAACACCGAUGGCGAAGGCAGGUCUCUGGGUAGUAACUGACGCUGAGGAGCGAAAGCAUGGGUAGCGAACAGGAUUAGAUACCCCGGUAGUC